rnacentral:lncRNA from 1 species
GGGCCCCAUAUGCCCAUUUGCAUUGGGCCCUGCAAGUUUCGUCACCAGACCUGCGGAGAACGGGAGCCGGCUCGUAAUCGGAGGGCGAGAAAAGUGAGCUCUUGUCAUUAUUGUCUAACGCAUGUGGGCCACGUGGCGUCGCGCGUCUGGCAGGCCUUUUCACAGCUUGGCAUAUGAAGGUGAAAGGCCUUCUCUAUUUCGGGUGCUCCCGGGCCUUAUAAGGCUCCCUCCGGCUUAAUAGGGGCGCUCACGGUGACCGAAGACCAAUUCAGUCGUGGAGAUGACAGGCAUCGUCCAGUCUGAGCCUUUCAACGACCACUUUCUGGCAAGCAGCGAGGCCCUAAGUCUUGACUCGCAUCCCCGACCCCACCUGAGAGAAGAAUGUAGGGCAGGCCCUGUGGAAAGUGGUUUGCUUUAGUCCAGCUAAGCAAUUUAACAUCGAGACAAGGAAGAGAUUGUUGCUUGCACAUGCAGGUUUUUUCUACGGAGGCGAAAUAUGAUGAUAUUAUUUAUUCAUCAUAUGUACCCUCACCUGUUCCAAAAGGGACCGGAGGCUGCCACAAAAUGAAAUCGAGUUCUCCGACUCAAACUCGGAAUUCUCUUACUGCAGAAAAAGGCUACUUCAUCUUCCCACAUGGACAAUGCAAGAAAUGUUCGAGCGUGCACACUGUUUCGUUACCAUCAGGCAGAGGGACAUUGGUUCUUCACAUGAAAUUGUUGGCCGGCAAUAUAAAUUUACUUUCUAGUAGAUCCCCUCAAGCAGGCAUGAUAUCAUUCAUAUAUCUUAAAUAA